rnacentral:lncRNA from 1 species
CCGUUCAUACCUCUCUCUCUCCAAUUGAGCAAGUCUUCAUAUACCCAAAAUACCAAAACACCAAAAUUCUUCAAAAUCCUCUAAGAACGGAAGUCACCAACUGAAAUGGAGAAGGAAUUGGAGUAAGGUGCAGUCCAAAAGAAGAAUUUAACUCAACUAAUUGCAAGUUGGAGCAAGGAUUUGAUCAUAACAUCAAGCUACAAAGAGGUACGUUAGUUAUAUUUGCUGAGUUUAUGAAUUGAGAAAAUAGAGAAUAGUUUAUUGUUACUAUAAAUUGAAUUGCUUGAUUUGUGAUUGAGUUGUGAAUUAGUUUGAGGAGGUUUAUGCAUGACAUAUGGAGUGAUAAGGAAGAAAUUUUUUGGAUAAAUUCAUGUAAGAACUCUAUUUUUAAAACUAAUGCACAUAUAGUGUGUUUGAAAAAUUGCGCUGUCAAGCAUAAAUAGAAGGAUUUGGUCAAGUUUGUGAUUAAGGAAUUCUUUAUACAUGUUUUAUAAAGUAAGUCAAGCUGUUUGGGUGAUCCCAAACAAGUUUAAAAGCGAAUUUAUGAGAAUUGAACAAGUUUGGCUCGGUUGAAAAUCUGCUCCAACAUGGCAGUUUUGAGCUCUUAUAAAACCGGUUUAAGUUGUUCAUUUUGGCUGAUUUAUAUUUUUAUAAAAUAAUAUGUAGUACCAUCUAGAACAUAUUAAAAUUUGAGAGCAAUUAGAUGUGUGGAUUGCAAGAUAGAAAAUCGUAAAGUAGGCAAGAAAAUAACAAAGUUGUUAGAAAUCUGGAAAAUUUCUUAGUCUGAAACUACUGUGAAUGGGCUGUUUCGCGCCAUUGUUUCGAAGCCUUGUCAAACUCUUUUCAUACAUGUUAUAUUUUUUAAAAAAUACUACGUAGUAUGAGGUAGAACAUAUCACAAAAUGGCUUCAAUCUGAUGUAUAAUGAGUGAGAUAAUAUUUUGCAAAACUAGCACGAAAAUCACAAAAUUCAAAAUUUCUAGAUUUUUGCCAAGAGCCUGGGCAGUGUGCAUGCAAUCCUACGAAGGUUACUGUUUCUAGCACGCCGAGUUAAUUUUUGGGCAUUACGUAAUUUUUUGAUGUGUUGCUCAAUUUUUCGUAUAGAAUCCAAAUAUGUAAUCAUUUCGUAGCACUUUUUGGAAAACCCAAAAAGUGUGAACUAAUUAGAAGAAAAUUUUCGCUAUUUUGUUAACUUUGAUGCAAUUUCAUAAUAUAAUUAAGUUGUGUAGUAGUAUGGAUGUAUUUGUUAACCUACAUAAGGUAUAAUACAUCAAAGCAUAAGGUAGGGCUAAGCAAGUAAUCAAAUUGGAACAGAAACCACACCAAAAACCGCACGAACCGCACCAAUUAAAAUCGCAUCACCGAUUCCGGCGUAUUUGGCGGUUAUAGGUGGGUUGAAUAACUAAAUUUACGAUUCCGAUUUGGUUACUAGCCAAAAUCGCACGCAUAAAAUUGAGUUCGCACCAUGUGUGUGUAUGUAUGUAUUAUCUCUAGUAAAUUCUAAAGUUACUUUCACAUGAAUACGCUCAGAGAAAACCUCAGUCUUGCAUUGUCAUUGUUUCACCAAUUGAAAGAAGAUUGUUAGAGGUUAUAGAGUCAAAAAUUAAGCAAUUGAGUUUUGGAAUUUCGAAUUUGUUUGAUGCGUUAUUGGAGGGGCUUAUAGCUGAGGGGCCAAAUUCGUUGAUUUGAGCACUUGAUGCAUUGGUUAAGGUCAAUAUUAUAAUAGUAAUAGUCUAAUAGAUUAUUUUUCAAAUUAGGUAAAGUUAGGAUUAUAUCCUAUAAGUCCUCCCUGCAAUAUAUAAGAUAGAAUUUCAUUCUAUCUCCAGUAUAUACUAUUAAUUUUUGGAGAACUAGAUAAACAUUCUAUCUCCAGUAUAUACUGUUAAUUUCUGGGUAACCCAUAAUAGUUAUCAUGGUCGGUCAACGGUUUUGUAGCUUUCAUAUCUUUGAAUCUGUGUAAUAGAUUUGUGUUGUGUUUGUUGUAAUAGGUAGUCUAUAUGUCAAAGUACAUAUAUAUAACACUAGUUUGGACCAAGCAUGAUUCUAAGGUCUCGAUCUAUAUAUGUUGGUCAAAGUACAGCCAAAGGUUGUUCUUCAUGUUCAUCAGUUUUUUGGGUAACCCAUAAAACUUGGUCAAGCUCGGUCAACGAAUUUUGACCAUUAAUUUCAGUAAUCAUAUGAACUGUUUAACCAAUUUAAGGUCAUAGAUAUGUAAUAUGUAUAUCAAGGUAUUAAUUUAUUACAAAAAGUUAUUAAAACAACAAACAGAAAGCGAUUAAAAGGCUGGUCAAAGUAGUCAGUUCAACCUGUUCUUAAGUUUUCUGGGUAACCCAGAAAACAGAACAUCGUGAUCGGUCAACCACCUUUGACCACCUAUAUCUUGAAAUAUAUGGUUCUAAUGAACCUGUUUUCUUUUUCAGAAUAAAGACCUCAUGUCAUGCUACAAAUAACACAUAAUUAACAGACCUAAUUAUUAACAUACAUGAAUCUACAAGCUUUGAUAUUCGACUGUCAGACUUGUUUUUUCAAAAUUCCUAGAUUGCUUAACACACUAAUUUGAGGCAUCUAGAUGUUAUGAAAACAUGUUCUAUUAACUUAGCAUACUUUCUAACAUGUUAUUACAUAUAUCUAAACAUCUAAACAACAAUUUGAACAAAGCAUCAAAGAUCUAGCUAUGAAUUAGGGUUUGCACAUUUCUUGCUUGAUUUUGAUUUCUGGCUAUUGAAUCUGUUAUUGCUAUCACCAGGGCUUGUAUAGGCAGGUUAUAUGAGUGUUUUGGCUUAUAAUUUUUGUGGGUUUGUUCUGAGCUAGGUUUUUUUUUAUAAAUUUUUCUAACUUGGCUUUUUGGUCAUUUUUCCGCCUACUUGCCUCCUAAAAGAUCUGAUCUAUGACUCUUCUGGUGCUUGAGAGUUUGGAAGCAUGUCAUGUGAUGUUUUGGGACUUGUGUGGAUGACUCUCAACCUACUUGUGAGCUAGUUGACCAAAUUAGUAUCUUAAAUAUGCCCUAAUUCUCAUUAAUUUUGAUUAGGGUUUUGUUUUUAAUGAUUAGGGUUGCUUAAUGUUGUUUAUUAGUACCUAAUUGACAUUUAUUAAUCAUGAUUAGGUGUUAGAAUAACCUAAUUAGGGUUUAGUUUAGCUAAUUAGGGUUAGGGUUUACAAAUUAGGGUUAGGAUUUAUAAUCUAGGGUUUCUAACCUUGAUUUUACAUAAAUCCUAACAAGCACGACAAGGCAUUUUGUCAGUGUAAGCAUGAUAAAGCAGCUUAUCAAAACAAAUAUACCAAAAAGUUCAUUUUCAGAAGAAAAUUUUUAAGCACAAGGUAUCAAGCACGUCAAUUUUUGGGCGAAAAUUUAUUUUACCAAAUUUGUUUAACAAAGUAUAUAUUAACACAUAACAGUUUCAGAAUGGGGAGAUUUUAUUAAUAUAACUGAAUUUAUAUAUCCGAGUCUUAUUAGGGUUUUGCGGUUUUACAUUCACCCCCGCUAAUAAGAAUUCUGUCCUCGAAAUUACAGUACAGGUUAAGUAAACAGUUAGGGAUAGUUCUCUCGCAUUUUAUCUUUGAGCUCCCAUGUAGCCUCUUCAACGUUCUGAUUCCUCCAGAUCACUUUGAACGAUGCUAUCACUUUAUUCCUCAGGACUUGCUCUUUACGAUCAACGAUCUGCACAGGUUCUUCUACAUAAGAAAGAUCUUCUUCAAUUUCGAUUAGCUCAUAAUUUAUAAUAUGUUUAUAAUCAGGUUUGUAUGGUUAUAAUACGAAUACAUGAAACACAUUAUGAAUAUGGUUUAACUCAGGAGGUAGUGUUAUUUCAUAAGCAACUUCACAUAUGCUCCUCAAAAUUUCAAAAGGUCUAAUGAAUCUCGAACUCAGUUUUUCUUUCUUGCCAAAACGUAUCCUUCCAAGGAGAUACUUUCAAGAAUACGUGGCUUCUUACGCUAAAGUUUCGUUGUUGACGAUGUGGAUCAGCGUAUUUUCUCUGACGAUCUUGAGAUGCUUGUAAUCGCUCACGUAUAAUUCUGAUGGUUUUAGUAGUUUGUUGAAUUAUAUUAGGUCCUAACAUUUGUCUUUCCCCGACCUCAUCCCAACAUAAGGGUGUUCUACAUUUUCUCCCAUAUAAGGCUUCAUAUGGUGGCAUACCUAUACUAGCAUACAUAUACUAGCAUGAUAACUGUUGUUGUAGGCAAAUUCCACCAAAGGUAAUUGAUCUUCCCAACUUCCUUUGAAGUUAAUGAUAUAUGUUCUCAACAUAUCCUCUAAUGUUUGAAUGAUUCUCUCACUUUGCCCAUCUUUUUGAGGGUGAUAAGAUGUAUUCAAUCUUAAUUGUGUUCCUAAAUGUUUUUGAAGGCUCUUCCAAAAAUCCGAAGUAAAACGUGGAUCUCGAUCUGAUACUAUAGAAACAGGUACUCCAUGCCUAGAGAUGAUUUCAUUAAUGUAUAGCUUGGCAAGGUGGUUUAAGUUAUGGGUAAUUUUAAUAGGUAAAAAGUGAGCUGAUUUGGUUAAACGGUCAACUAUUACCCAAAUGGCAUUGUGGCCCUUCUGUGUACCUGGAAGGCCUACCACAAAGUCCAUGGUUAUAUGUUCCACUUUCACUCAGGAAUUGGUAAGGGUUGAAGUAAUCCACUUAGCUUUUGGUGUUCAGCUUUAACCCUUUAACAUGUGAGACAUUUACUUACCCAUUCAUCUAUUGCUCUUUUCAUAUUCGACCACCAAAAGUGUUGACUUAAGUCUUUGUACAUUUUUGUACGGCUAGGAUGUAUGGCAAAUGUAGAAUUAUGAGCUUCGUUUAAGAUUUCGUCUUUUAAGGGUUGGUUUAACGGAACCCAAAUUCUAUCUUCAUAUCUUACUAUUCCAUCCUUGUCUAUUCUUAAUAUGAGUUAUAUUAGACUUAUAUUUCUGACAUUCAUCAUCCUUUUCCUGCAUCUCUUCGAUUCUAUCAAGUAGAGAUGAAACUCCCUCUAGAAUGAAUAACUUUUGGGUAGAGAUUGUUGGACAUUCCACCUCAAUUUCUAAUUUUUCAAAAUCUUUUAUUAACCUAUCAUUGGUGGUUAUUACGUUCAACUUUUCUUGAUUCUUUCUACUUAACGCAUCAGCUACGACAUUAGCUUUACCGGGAUGAUAUAAGAUUUCACAUUCAAAAUCCUUUAUCAAUUCUAACCAUCUUCUCUGUCUUAAGUCCAGUUCUUUUUGGUAAAAAAUAUUUUAGACUUUUAUGAUCUGUAUAUAUCUCGCACUUCUCCCUGUACAAGUAAUGUCUCCAAAUUUUUAGAGCAAAGACUACCGCAGCUAACUCUAGGUCAUGAGUAGGAUACCUCUUCUCAUAAUCUUUGAGUUGUCGUGAUGCAUAAGCAAUCACUUUCCCAUGUUGCAUCAACACACACCCUAAACCUCUAUGUGACGCAUCACUAAAAAUUACAAGGCAUCUUGUAUCAUCUGGUAAGGACAACACUAGAGCCAUGCUCAAUCGCUUCUUCAACUCUUGAAAGCUCUCUUCAUAUUUUUUUUGUCCAAACGUAUUUGACCAUCUUUCGAGUUAAAUUGGUUAGUGGGGUUGCUAUUUUUGAAAAAUCUUUUAUAAACCAUCGAUAAUAACCUGCUAAACUGAUAAAACUUCUUACUUCUAUUGGAAUUGUUGGUUGUUCCCAAUUCACAACUUUUUCGAUCUUAGUUAGAUCUACUGAUAUUCCAUCUUUGUCAAUUACAUGACCUAAAAAUUGAACUCUCUUUAACCAGAAUUCACACUUCGAAAAUUUCGCAUAAAGUUGUUCCUUUCAUAAUAUCUCUAAAAUAACUCUCAAGUGUUCAACAUGUUCUUCCUGUGUUUUCGAGUAUACCAGAAUAUCGUCGAUAAACACUACAACAAAUUGUCCAAGCAUGGUUUAAACACUCGAUUCAUUAAAUCCAUAAAUGUUGCUGGUGCAUUUGUCAAUCCAAAAGACAUUAUAAGAAACUCAUAAUGUCCAUAGCGAGUCCUGAACGCUGUUUUUGGCACAUCUUCCUUUCUUAACUUUAACCGAUGAUAACAUGUUCUAAGGUCAAUCUUUGAAAAGUGUUCGGCCCCCUUUAAUUGGUCAAACAAAUAAUCAAUCCUUGGUAAAGGAUAUUUAAUCUUAAUGGUUAAUUUGUUUAAUUCUCUAUAAUCUAUACAUAAUCUCAUGGUUCCAUCCUUCUUCUUUACAAAUAAUAUUGAUGCUCCCCAAGGUGAAACACUAAGUUGUUUGUACUUUUUAUCUAAGGGUUCCUGUAAUUGUACUAGUAACUCUUUCAGUUCUACAGGUGUCAUUCUAUACGGUGCCUUAGAAACCGGUGCCGUUCCCAAUGCAAGAUCAAUGACAAACUCAAUUUUCCUAUAUGGAGGUAAACCUGGUAAGUCAUCCGAAAAUACAUCGGGAAAAUCCUUAACUACGGGUAUUUGAUCUAGUUUUACUCCUUCCUGUUAAGUAUCAACCAUCUAGGCAAAAUAUCCUGAACAAUCUUUUUUAAAUAACCUUUCUGCUUGAGUUAUGGUCAAGCAUCUAGAUUGCUUAGGUGAACAACUUCCGUUGAACACUACCUUUGACUUCGAUGCAGUAAAAAGGUUUAUACGUUUUUGAUGAUAAUCAAUCAUCGCAUUAUGGUUAACUAACCAAUCCAUUCCUAAGAUUAAAUCAAAUUAUCCCAACUAAAUUGGAAUAAGAUCUACCAGAAAAUUGUGUCCCUUAUCUCCACACUACAAUUCCUAUAUAUGGUUUUAACCGGAAUCUUUUCGUUGUUUGCAAUUUCUAUACAAAAUGGUUUGUCUAAAUUUUCACAUGUUAUAUUCAGGUUUUUAAAAAAACUAUUAGACACAAAGGAACAAGUAGCACCAGAAUCGAAUAACACAUAUGCAUUUAAAGUGUUGAUAGGGAUGAUACCUGUCACCACGUCCUGUGCAGCAACAGCAUCCCUCACCGACAUAUUAAAUGUUCUCGCGGUUGGUCGACUCUGAACUCCAACUACAGCUACUGUUGACUGAUUAUUGUUAUUCUUCGGUACUCUAUUCCCCUUUCCUCCCUGGUUCUUAGGUUUGGGACAAUUUCUUGUGAAAUGAUCCGACAAACCACAAUUGAAACAUUUCUUUUUAUUGGGGAGAGGACACUGUGGAGAAAGGUGUCCCAUUUGUCCACAAUUAUAACAUUUACUAUUAAAACAUACCCAUUUAUGUUUUUCUCCAUAGGUAUAACAAGGUUUAAUGUUAUUAUUACUAAAGUUACUAUUGUUAUUACCUAUAUUUUUUCCCGUGUUAUUGGAAAAAGUAGUAUACCAUUUCUGUUUAUUAUUAAACCCACCUAAAUUGGGUUCAGUCUUAAGUUUCCCUUUCUCAUUUUGACUCUUCUUUUUCUGAUAAAAUUUAAUGAGACUUUCGUUUUCACUUUCAGCUAUAGAAGCUUUCUCGAGUAUUUCUGAAAAAGUCUUUAUUUGGAGUACCGAUAAUUUACUUCGUAUCUGAGGUUUCAAACCUUCUUGAUACCUCUGAGUCUUUCUAAGUUCAAUAUUGACUUGGUGAGGAGCAAACCUGGACAGUUCGUUGAACUUGGCUGUAUACUGAGAUACAGUCUCCUUGUUUUAAUUCUAGAAAUUUUACUUCCAUAUGAUCUUUCAAAGAUUGAGAAAAAUAGUUUUCAAAGAACAAAUCUUUGAAUUUAUCCGAAGGUACAAUUUUAGUUUCUACCCGACACUUAGGUGAUUCCCACCAAUCAGGUCUCUUUGUUUUAAUUCUAGAAAUUAUACUUUCAUACGAUCUUUCAAAGACUGAGGAAAAUAGUUUUCAAAGAAAAAUUCUUUGAAUCUAUCCCAAGGUACAAUUUCAGUUUCUACUUGACCCUUAGUUGAUUCCCACCAGUAAUUAGUCUCACCUUUCAAGAAAAAGGUUGCAAAAUUCGUCUUUUGAUUAUUAUUGACAUUGGUUACUAGAAAAAAAAUUUCUAUUUCAGUAAUCCAAAUUUUUGCAUCGACAGGUUCAGUUGUACCUUUGAACUCAGGUGGACCAACUAAUUUAAAAUCUUUAAAGGAAGUGUUUUGGGUGGUUGGUCUAUUCAUAGCACCUAACAAAAGUUCUACUAAAUUUUGGGCAGGAUUAUCAUCAUUAUUUAUCUCUCGUUGGGGUUUUCUGGUUGGUAGCAUGAUUCUAUAUAAAAUAACAAGAAAAAUCCUCAUAAGAAUUUGAAUAAUACAAACAUAUCUUUUAUUCAUAUAUCACAAGAGUCAUACAAAACGACUUAGUAGUUUACACAUACUACUAGUUCUAUUACAAACUUUAAAUGUUCCUUUAUUCAUACUAUUAUAGAGCAUUUAGACUUCUAUACUACCCUCUUGAACUCAUUAACAUCAUCGAAGGAAUCUUAGAUUAUGUGGCAUACAACAGAUCGAUCUAUCAGAUAGGCAGUUUUCUUCUCCUCCACCGGAUAUCGAAGUACUCGACGCUGCAAAUCGUUGAAAACAUCUCGAGUACCCAGAGUAGAUUUGAGAAGCCUUGACAGUAUUUUUUUCCUGCCCCUUUGUGCAUGGUGCAGUUGUACUUUUAGUCGAUUAUUGGUUCCCCUUUCAUGCUUUAACAUUCCCUCAACUAAGUGUGCCCUAAACUGCAUUUUAUUAUUCUCAUAUUCAGAAGUCUUCAUUAGUAAUGUCAUUGCUUCAUCAUGUUCAUCAAUUCUCAUUAAUUGCCCUGCUACUGGAUCUUCCUCUUCCUCAGCAUCUAGCAGUUGUUGAUCACGAAGCAAUUCUUCAUCCUCUGCAUCACUAGCUAUAAAUGACUCAAUUUGUGGUGGAUUGUUUAGUACUAUCACCAUUUCUUCAGCACUGGAGUUAGCCAUCUUUAAAAUAAAAAUUCCUUUAAUACUGGUAUGGAAAUUUACACAACACAAUAUUGUUUUUAUGUUAUUUUUAUGUGUACUUUAAAAUUUUUACGGACUCGAAUACUAUAUACUAAGAUUUCUCUUCCUUAUAUCUAUAGCCUUAACAGCUCUGAUACCAUUAAUGUAACACCCCCAUAUCUAUACAUCCACUGUAUCCGAUAUGGUGCUUACUACAAGUCAAUAUAUAUAACGCAUUCAAAUCUAUACACACAUGGUAUCCGAUUAAAUGCUUAUAUCUAAUUGAGUGACUAUACAAUUUAUAACCAGAUAUAAUUUCCAUAGAUUCAAGAUUCAUAACAUCCCAUAACAGAUAACAAUUCUCAAGAGAACUAUUGGUGUGUUUGGAUACCCUCACAUGGAUAUAUGAACUAUAUCUGUGAAUAGUAUAUAUCUAUCCGAAGUUCAGAGUAUCAGUAAUAACAUGAACAGUCCAUAUUACCAAUACCCUCACUCAGAUGUAUAGUCUAUGUCAUGUGAAUUACACUAUCGUAUCGAUAGUACCUAUUUAUCCAAAAUUCAGAGUAUUAACAACAUGAACAGUCCAUGUUAUCAAUACCCUCACUCAGAUAAAUAGUUCCCAAGGAUCUCAACUAAUUUGAACAUUCUAAUUACAUCUAUAUAUGUAAGAAAACACGGUUGCAGAAAUAAAAAAUAUUAUAUAUCAUAAAUAUUAAGGUUUGAUUACAUGAUUCUUCAUAAAGAAUUUCUUAUUACAAAGUAUUCAACCUGACAGGAAUACAAGCUAAUCUAAGCAAGGACGGUUCCCUUUAUCUACUCCAGAUGUGUCAGGGUUAUUAUCUAAUACUGUAAAGGGAAUAAUUUGCAAGGGUGAGCUAUGACAUUCUCAGCAGGCACUUUAUUUAUAACAAUAUAUGAUUUGAAAAAGUAUAACAAUUUAAAAUUUAACUGAUAGUUGCUACCAUUUCUGGAAUUUCUUUUUUAACCAUUUCUAGACUUUUUAUUUCUGUCAGUCACACAGACUUAGAAACUUUGUUUAGAUAUGAGAUAGGGGAUCAGUCUACUCAAUAUCCUAGGAGUAUGUAUCUCAUCCUAUUAGUGCUCAUAUGCACCCAAAUGUCUUGCUUUGGUAAGACAUCUUAUCCUAAAGUUGUGUAUCCCGUAAGGGAUCGAGAUUUGGUCAAUAAUAUAUUGACAUUUGGGUGCAUAUGAGCACUAGUAGGAUGAGAUGCAUACUCCUAGGAUAUUGAGUAGGUUGAUCCCCUAUCUCAUAUCUAAACAAGGUUUUUAAGUCUGUGUGACUGAUCACAAAAAUAAAAAGUCCAGAAAUGGUUGAAAAAGAAAUUUCAGAAAUGGUAGCAACUAUCAGUUAAAUUUUGAAUUGUUAUACUUCUUCAAAUCAUAUAUUGUUAUAAAUAUAAAGCCUACUGAGCAUGUCAUAGCUCACCCUUCCAAAUUAUUCCCUUUGCAGUAUUAGAUGGUAACCCUGGCACAUCUGGAGUAGCUAAAGGGAAGCGUCCUUGCUUUAAUUAGCUUAUAUUCCUGUUUGGUUGAAUACUUUGUAAUAAUUAAGAAAUUAUUUAUGAAGAAUCAUGUAAUCGAAUCUUAAUAUUUAUGAUAUAUAACAUCUUUUAUUUCCGCAACCGUGUUUUCUUACAUAUAUAGAUGUAAUUAGAAUCUUCAAAUUAGUUGAGAUCAUUGGGAACUAUUUAUCUGAGUGAGGGUAUUGAUAACAUGGACUGUUCAUGUUGUUGUUAAUACUCUGGAUUUUGGAUAAAUAGGUAUUAUCGAUACAAUAGUGUAAUUCGCAUGACAUAGACUAUACAUCUGAGUGAGGCAAUUGGUAAUAUGGACUGUUCAUGUUAUUACUAAUACUCUGAACUUCGGAUAGAUAGAUACUAUUCACAGCUACAGUUCAUAUAUCCAAGUGAGGGUAUCCAAACACAGCAAUAGUCCUCUUGAGAAUUGUUAUCUGUUAUGGGAUACUGUGAAUCUUGGAUCUAUGGGAAUUAUAUCUGAUUAUAAAUUGUAUAGUCACUCAAUUAGAUAUAAGAAUUUAAUCGGAUACCAUGGGUGUAUAGAUUCUAAUGUGUUAUAUAUAUUGACUUGUAGUAAGCACCAUAUCGGAUACCAUGGGUGUAUAGAUAUGGGGGCGUUACAUUAAUGGUAUCAAAGUUGUUAAGGCUAUAGAUAUAAGGAAGAGAAUCUUAGUAUAUAUUAUUCGAGUCCGUAAAAAUUUUAAAGUACACAUAAAAAUAACAUUAAAAAUAAUAUUAUGUUAUUUUUCAUACCAGUAUUAAAGGUGUUUUAAUUUUAUAGAUGGACAACUCCAGUGCUAAACAAAUGGUGAUAGUAAAUAAUCCACCACAAAUUGAGUCAUUUAUAGCUAGUGAUGCAGAGGAUGAAGAAUUGCUUCAUGAUCAACAACUGUUAGAUGCUGAGGAAUAGGAAGAUCCAGUAGCAGGGCAAUUAAAUGAGAAUUGAUGAACAUGAUGAAUGGCAUCACUAAUGAAGACUUCUAAAUAUGAGAAUAAUAAAAUGCAGUUUAUGGCACACUUAGCUGAGAGAAUGUUAGAUCAUGAAAGAGGAACUAAUAAUCAACUGAAACUACAAUUGCACCGUGCAAAAAGGGGCAGGAAGGAAAUACAGUUAAGGCUUCUCCAAUCUGCUCUGGGUACUCGACAUGUUUUCAAUGUUUCCAGCGCCAAGUAGUUCGAUAUCCAGUGGAAGAUAAGAAAAAUGCCUAUCUGAUAGAUCAAUCUGUGGUAUGCCAUAUGAUCCAGGUACAACUGAACCUGUCGAUGCACAGAUUUGGAUUACUAAAAUAAAAACAAUUUCCUAGUAACCAAUGUCAAUAAUAAUCAAAAGAUGACUUUUGCAACCUUUUUCUUGAAAGCUGAGGCUAAUUACUGGUGGGAAUCAACUAAGGGUAGGGUAGAAACUGAAAUUGUACCUUGCGAUAGAUUCAAAGAAUUGUUCUUUGAAAACUAUUUUUCUUAGUCUUUGAAAGAUCGUAUGGAAGUAAAAUUUUUAGAAUUAAAACAAAAAGACCUGAUUGUAUCUCAGUAUACAGCCAAGUUCAACGAACUGUCCAGGUUUGCUCCUCACCAAGUCAAUACUGAACUUAGAAAGACUCGGAGGUAUCAAGAAGGUUUGAAACCUCAGAUACGAAGUAAAUUAUUGGUACUCCAAAUAAAGACUUUUUCAGAAAUACUCGAGAAAGCUUCUAUAGCUGAAAGUGAAAAUGAAAGUCUCAUUAAAUUUUAUCAGGAAAAGAAGAGUCAAAAUGAGAAAGGGAAACUUAAAACUGAACCCAGUUCAGGUGGGUUUAAUAAUAAACGGAAAUGGGAUACUAUUUUUUCCAACAACCCGAGGAAAAAGAUAGGUAAUAACAAUAAUAACUUUAGUAAUAAUAACAUUAAACCUUGUUCUACCUGUGGAGGAAAACAUAAAGGGGUAUGUUUUAAAAGUAAAUGUUACAAUUAUAGACAAAUGGGACACCUUUCACCAUAGUGUCCUCUCCCUAAUAAAAAUAAAUGUUUCAAUUGUGGUUCGUCGGAUAAUUUCGCAAGGAAUUGUCCCAAACCUAAGAACCAGGUAGGAGAGGGAAUAGAGUACCGAAGAAUAACAAUAAUCAGUCAACAGUAGUUGCAGGCGAAGUUCAGAGUCAACCAGUCGCGAGAACAUUUAAUAUGUCAAUGAGGGAUGUUGUUGCUUCAAAGGAAGUGGUGACAGGUAUCAUCCCUAUCAACACUUUAAAUGCAUGUGUGUUAUUCAAUUAUGGUGCUACUUGUUCCUUUGUGUCUCAUAGUUUUUCUAAAAACCUGAAUAUACCAUGUGAAAAUUUAGACAAACCAUUUUGUAUUAAAAUUGCAAACAACAAAAAGAUUCCGGUUAAAACCAUAUAUAGGAACUGAAGUGUGGAGAUUGAAGGACUUAAUUUUCUAGUAGAUCUUAUUCCAAUUCAGUUGGGAGAAUUCGAUGUAAUCUUAGGAAUGGAUUGGUUGGUUAACCAUAAUGCGAUGAUUGAUUGUCAUCAAAAACAUAUAAACCUUUUGACUGCAUCAAAGUCAAAGGUAGUGUUCAACGGAAGUUGUUCACCUAAGCAAUCUAGAUUCUUGACCAUAACUCAGGCAGAAAGGUUACUUAGAAAAGGUUGUUCAGGAUAUUUGGCCUAUAUAGUUGAUACUCGACAGGAAGGAGAGAAAUUAGAUCAAAUACCUGUAGUUAAAGAUCUUCUCGAUGUAUUUUCGGAUGACUUACCAGGUUUACCUCCAGAUAGGGUAAUUGAGUUUGUCAUUGAUCUUCCACCGGGAACGACACCAGUUUCUAAGGCACCGUACAGAAUGGCACCUGUAGAACAGAAAGAGUUACUAGUACAAUUAUAAGAACUCUUAGAUAAAAAGUACAUACAACCUAGUGUUUCACCCUGGGGAACACCAUUAUUAUUUGUAAAGAAAAAGGAUGGAACCAUAAGAUUAUGUAUAGAUUAUAGAGAAUUAAAUAAAUUAAACAUUAAGAAUAAAUAUCCUUUACCAAGGAUAGAUGAUUUGUUUGACCAAUUAAAAGGGGCCGAACACUUUUCAAAGAUUGACCUUAGAACAGGUUAUCAUCGGUUAAAGUUAAGAAAGGAAGAUGUGCCAAAAACAGCGUUCAGGACUCGCUAUGGACAUUAUGAGUUUCUUGUAAUGUCUUUUGGAUUGACAAAUGCACCAGCAUUUAUGGAUUUAAUGAAUCGAGUGUUUAAACCAUGCUUGGACAAUUUGUUGUAGUGUUUAUCGACGAUAUUCUGGUAUACUCGAAAACACAUGAAGAGCAUGUUGAACACUUGAGAGUUAUUUUAGAGAUAUUACGAAAGGAACAACUUUAUACGAAGUUUUCGAAGUGUGAAUUCUGGUUAAAGAGUUCAAUUUUUAGGUCAUGUAAUUGACAAAGAUGGAAUAUCGGUAGAUCCGACUAAGAUCGAAAUGGUGGUGAAUUGGGAACAACCAACAACUCCAACAGAAGUAAGAAGUUUUCUCGGUUUAGCGGGUUAUUAUCGACGGUUUAUAAAAGAUUUUUCAAAAAUAGCAACCCCACUAACCAAUUUAACUCAAAAGACGGUAAAAUACGUCUGGACAGAUAAAUGUGAAGAGAGCUUCCAAGAGUUAAAGAAGCGAUUAAGCAUGGCUCUAGUGUUGUACUUACCAGAUGAUAUAGGAGGCCUUGUAGUUUUUUAGUGAUGCGUCACAUAGAGGUUUAGGGUGUGUGUUGAUGCAACAUGGGAAAGUGAUUGCUUAUGCAUCACGACAACACAAAGAUUAUGAGAAGAGGUAUCCUACUCAUGACCUAAUGUUAGCUGCGGUAGUCUUUGCUCUAAAAAUUUGGAGACAUUACUUGUACGGGGAGAAAUGCAAGAUAUAUACAUAUCAUAAAAGUCUGAAGUAUAUUUUUACACAAAACAAACUGAACUUAAGACAGCGAAGAUGGUUAGAAUUGAUAAAGGAUUUUGAUUGUGAAAUCUUAUAUCAUCCCGGUAAAACUAAUGUCGAAGCUGAUGCGUUAAGUAGAAAGAAUCAAGAAAAGUUGAACGUAAUAACCACCGAUGAUAGGUUAAUAAAAGAUUUUGAAAAAUUAGAAAUUGAGGUGGAAUGUCCAACUACCUCUACCCAAAAGUUAUUCAUUCUAGAGGGAGUUUCAUCUCUACUUGAUAUAAUCAAAGAGAUGCAGGAAAAGGAUGAUGAAUGUCAGAAAUAUAAGUCUAAUAUAACUCAUAUUAAGAAUAACAAAUUCAAAAUAGACAAGGAUGGAAUAGUAAGAUAUGAAGAUAGAAUUUAGGUUCCGUUAAACCAAACAUUAAAAGACGAAAUCUUAAACGAAGCUCAUAAUUCUAAAUUUACCAUACAUCCUUGCAGUACUAGAAUGUACAAAGACUUAAGUCAACACUUUUGGUGGUCGAAUAUGAAAAGAGAAAUAGCUGAAUGGGUAAGUAAAUGUCUCACGCGUCAAAGGGUUAAAGCUGAACACAAAAAGCCGAGUGGAUUACUUCAACCCUUAACAAUUCCUGAGUGGAAGUGGGAACAUAUAACCAUGGACUUUGUGGUAGGCCUUCCAGGUACACAGAAGGGACAGGAUGCCAUUUGGGUAAUAGUUGACCGUUUAACCAAAUCAGCUCACUUUUUACCUAUUAAAGUUACCCAUAACUUAGACCACCUUGCCAAGCUAUAUAUUAAUAAAAUCAUCUCUAGGCAUGGAGUACCUAUUUCUAUAGUAUCGGAUCGAGAUUCACGUUUUACUUCAAAUUUUUAGAAGAGCCUUCAAAAACAUUUAGGAACACAAUUAAGAUUGAGUACAGCUUAUCACCCUCAAACGAAUGGGCAAAGUGAGAGGAAAUCUAGAACACCCUUGUGCUGGGAUGAGGUCGGGGAAAGACAAAUGUUAGGACCUGAGAUCAUUCAACAAACUACUGAAACCAUCAGAAUUAUACGUGAGCAAUUACAAGCAUCUCAAGAUCGACAGAGGAAAUAUGCUGAUCCACAUCGUAAACAACAAAACUUUAGCGUAGGAAGCCACGUAUUCUUGAAAGUAUCUCCUUGGAGGGGUAAGAUACAUUUUGGCAAGAAAGGAAAACUGAGUCCGAGAUUUAUUGGACCUUUUAAAAUUUUGAGGAGGAUAGGUGAAGUUGUUUAUGAAAUAGUACCACCUCCUGAGUUAAACCAUAUUCAUAAUGUGUUUCAUGUGUCCGUAUUACAACCAUACAAACCUUAUUAUAAACACGUUAUAAAUUAUGAGCCAAUCCAAAUCGAAGAAGAUCUUUCUUAUGUAGAAGAACCUGUGCAGAUUGUCGAUCGUAAAGAGCAAGUCCUGAGGAAUAAAGUGAUAGCAUCGGUCAAAGUGAUCUGGAAGAAUCAGAAUGUUGAAGAGGCUACAUGGGAGCUCGAAGAUAAAAUGCGAGAGAACUAUCCCCAACUGUUUACUUAACCUGUACUGUAAUUUCGAGGACGAAAUUCUUAUUAGUGGGGGUGAAUGUAAAGCCCCAAAACCCUAAUAAGACUCAGAUAUGUAAAUUCAGUUAUAUUAAUAAAAUCUCUCUGUUUUGAAAGUGUUAUGUGUUAAUAUAUACUCUGUUAAACAAAUUUGGUCAAAUAAAUUGACGGGCUUGACACCUCGUGCUUAAAAAUUUUCUUUCGAAAAUGGACUUUUUGGUAUAUUUAUUUUGACAAGCUGCUUUGUCGUGCUUACACUGACAAAAUGCCUUGUCGUGCUUGUUAGAAUUUAUGUAAAAUCUAGGUUAGAAACCCUAGAUUAAAAAUCCUAACCCUAAUUUGUAAAUCCUAACCCUAAUUAGUUAAACUAAACCCUAUUCUAACACCUAAUCAUGAUUAAUAAACUUCAAUUAGGUACUAAUAAACAACAUUAAGCAACCUUAAUCAUUAAAAAUAAAACCCUAAUCAAGAUUACUGAGGAUUAGGGAAUUAUUAAGCUACUAAUUUAGUUAACUAGCUCACAAGUAGGUUGAGAGUCAUCCACACAAGUCCCAAAAUAUCACAUGACAUGCUUCCAAACUCCCAAGCACCAGAAGAGUCAUAGAUCAGAUCUUUUAGGAGGCAAGUAGGUGGAAAAUGUCCAAAAAGCCAAGUUAAAAAAUUUAUAAAAGUUCUAGCUCGGAGCAAACCCACGAAAAUUAUAAGCCAAUACACUCAUAUAACCUGCCUAUACAAGCCCUGGUGAUAGCAAUAACAGAUUCAAUAGCCAGAAAUCAAAAAUCAAACAAGAAAGGUACAAACCUUAAUUCAUAGCUAGAUCUUUGAUGCUUUGUUCAAAUUGUUGUUUAGAUGUUUAGAUAUAUGUAAUAACAUGUUAGAAAGUAUGCUAAGUUAAUAGAACAUGUUUUCAUAACAUCUAGAUGCCUCAAAUUAGUGUUUUAAGCAAUCUGGAAAUUUUGAAAAAAUAAGCCUGACAGUCGAAUGUCAGAGCUUGUAGAUUCAUGUAUGUUAAUAAUUAGGUCUGUUAAUUGUGUGUUAUUUGUAGUAUGACAUGAGGUCUUUAUUAUGAAAAAGAAAAUAGGUUUAUUAGAACCAUAUAUUGCAAGAUAUAGGUUAUCAAAGGUGGUUGACCGAUCACGAAGUUCUAUUUUUUGGGUUACCCAGAAAACUCAAGAACAGAUUGAACCGGCUACUUUGACCAGCCUUUUAAUCGCUUUCUGUUUGUUAUUUUAAUAACUUUUUGUAAUAAAUUAAUACCUUGAUAUACAUAUUACAUAUCUAUGACCUUAAAUUGCUUAAACAGUUCAUAGGAUUAUUGGAAUUAAUGGUCAAAAGUCGUUGACCGAGCUUGACCAAGUUUUAUGGGUUACCCAGAAAACUGAUGAACAUGAAGAACAGCCUUUGGCUGUACUUUGACCAAAAUAGAUUGAGACCUUAGAAUCACGCUUGGUCCAAACCAGUGUUAUAUAUAUGUACCUUGACAUAUAGACUACCUAUUACAACAAACACAACACAAAUCUAUUACACAGAUUCAAAGAUAAGAAAGCUACAAAAUCGAUAACCGACCAUGACAACUAUUCUGGGUUACCCAGAAACUCAAGAACAGCUCUGAUAGUGACUUUGAGCCUCUAUAACUUCUUGUUAUAUGUAGGUUAAAGCACAAAAUUUGUCUGAUGUUGUACUACUGUAUGAGUACUAUAACAUCCAUACUUGUCCAAACCCAGAAUCAUUAACAGUAGCAAAGUAGAUCAAGGUCAAAGUGGUCCCUAGACUAUGACCGACUGAAACCCAGAAAUUCAAGAACACAUAUAACGACACUUCCUGUCACUAUAGGGCUUUAGCGACAAACAGAAAUUAUUUUUUAGAAAUUAAUUAAUAAAAAAUAGAAAUAAUUAAUAAAUAAAUACAAAAAUAGUUUUAAAAAUUAUAUUAAGUUAUUAUAAUUAACUUUUGAUAUUUUUACAUAAAUUCAAUAAAUAUUUUAUUUUAUUUGGAUAUUAUUAAUAAUUAAGUUAAUAAUAAAAUAAUUAGAAUAAUUACUUAUAAAUAAUAAAUAAUUAUUGAAAAAUAAUAUUAAUGAUUUAAAAAUCAUAAUAAAUGGUUAUAAAUUAUUUAAAAAUAGUAAACAAGGUUUUUAUAAAAUUCUAAGUAAAUAAAUGAUUUAAAAAUUAUUUAAGGGAUAAAUAAAUACUUAAAAAUUAUUAUAAACUUUUAGAAAUUAUUAUAAAGGAUAUUUAAAUUAUCUAAAAAUAUACUCCCUCCGUCCCAGGAUAAAUGUCAUUAAAUAUGGAGAGAGAAUUAGAAUAAAAAAGUAUGAGAUAUUUAAUGCUACGGGUAUAAUAGAAAAAUAUGUGAAAGUUUGGUUAUUAAAGAAAAAUGGACAUUUAACAUGGGACUACCCAAAAUAGUAAUAAGAACUUUUAUCAUGGGACGGAGGGAGUAAUAAAGCUCAUAAAUAGAUUUUAGUCGAUAUAUCAUCUUAUUUAAUAUUUGGUAAAGUCUUUGGGCACCGAAAACCAUAUCAAACUUAACCCGAACAUAUGUAGAUUAUGUAUUUGAGUAUUGUUAUCAAUACUAAUGUGUUAGAUUUAUAUGAAUGAACAUCUUAGGUGUUUAUUAACGAAUCGAGUAGCAUUGCUUGACUGAUCUUCGCUCAGGCAAGUUCCCUACCCUAAAUUACUUAUGCAAGUUCUCUAUCCUUAAAUCUCUUAUCAAGCAAGUUCCCUAAACCCAAAUUAUUACUUAUGUAAAUUUCUCAAACCCUGUUAAUUCGUUGAACAAGAUUUUAAAUCUUAAAUUAUUGUUGAUAUGAUAUACCAAACCUAAACUUAAAUCACCACUUAUUGUAAUGUUAUUGCUAUAGCUUCAGCAUCACUAAGAAAUGAAUUGUUUAUUCCUAUGAUGUUGUUUAUUGAGCAUAAACUAUUGUGUCAAACCAAAUUACUUUGGUAAGAUAUCAUAUCCUGAAGUUGUGUAUCCCGUAAGGGAUCGAGAUUUGGUCAAUAAUAUAUUGACAUUUGGGUGCAUAUGAGCACUAGUAGGAUGAGAUGCAUACUCCUAGGAUAUUGAGUAGGCUGAUCCCCUAUCUCAUAUCUAAACAAAGUUUCUAAGUCUGUGUGACUGAUCACAGAAAUAAAAAGUCCAGAAAUGAUUGAAAAAGAAAUUUCAGAAAUGGUAGCAACUAUCAGUUAAAUUUUGAAUUUUUAUACUUCUUCAAAUCAUAUAUUGUUAUAAAUAUAGAGCCUACUGAGCAUGUCAUAGCUCACCCUUGCAAAUUAUUCCCUUUGCAGUAUUAGAUGGUAACCCUGGCACAUCUGGAGUAGAUAAAUGGAAGCGUUCCUGCUUUAAUUAGCUUAUAUUCCUGUCUGGUUGAAUACUUUGUAAUAAGAAAUUCUUUAUGAAGAAUCAUGUAAUCGAAUCUUAAUAUUUAUGAUAUAUAACAUCUUUUAUUUUCGCAACCGUAUUUUCUUACAUAUAUAGAUGUAAUUAGAAUCUUCAAAUUAGUUGAGAUCCUUGGGAACUAUUUAUCUGAGUGAGGGUAUUGAUAACAUGGACUGUUCAUGUUAUUGUUAAUACUCUGGAUUUUGGAUAAAUAGGUAUUAUCGAUACAAUAGUGUAAUUCGCAUGACAUAGACUAUACAUCUGAGUGAGGGUAUUGGUAAUAUGGACUGUUCAUGUUAUUACUGAUACUCUGAACUUCGGAUAGAUAGAUAUUAUUCACAGUUACAGUUCAUAUAUCCAAGUGAGGGUAUCCAAACGCAGCAAUAGUUCUCUUGAGAAUUGUUAUUUGUUAUGGGAUACUGUGAAUCUUGGAUCUAUGAGAAUUAUAUCUGGUUAUAAAUUGUAUAGUCACUCAAUUAGAUAUAAGAAUUUAAUCGGAUACCAUGGGUGUAUAGAUUUGAAUGCGUUAUAUAUAUUGACUUUUAGUAAGCACCAUAUUGAAUAUUGUGGGUGUAUAUAUAUGGCGGCGUUACAAUGGCUUAAUGAAAAGGAAAAUUGUUCCACGGUUUUUGGAGCUUGUAUAUUCUCAGUAGGGAGGAUUUUGUGGAGAUAGCUCAUAGCUUGUUGUUGAGUAAUGUUAAUUUUAGACCUGGAAAAAUUGGCCCAAGUCCGCAAGCCGGGUCGGGCUGGCUCGUAAAAAUUGGGCUUUGGGCUUAACUUUUUUAGUCAAUGAAAACUUGGGCCAUUAGCCAAAUUUAGCCCAGCCCGGCCCGGGGGCUAUUUUUUUAGCAAAAUGAUGCUCUACUUGAGAAUCGAACUUUAGACCUCCCCCACUUCUUAAACAAAUGCUCAAACCAACUGAGCUAUAAGAGUUUUUUAUUCUAAAGUCACUACAUACCUUACUACAUCUCUUUUUAAUACUUAUUGUUUUAUUCAAUUAUAUUUUCAUCCAUUUUAUUUUCUACUACUAUUGUACGCACGAGGGGUGCACGCUCCUAUUAAUAUGACGUUCUUUCUUCUUUGUCCAUCCAUAAAACUCUAAAUAAUUACAUUUAUGCCACAUGUUCAUCCCUUGAAAAUUAAAAUUACUACUCCAUUUUUCUUAUUCGAUGUAAUUUGGACCAGAACUAUUGUUGGGCUAAAGGAAAUUAAAAUAUCCCGAAUCUCAUUAAAAAAAAAUUGUUUGUAAAGAAAAUUCGAUUGAAUAAAAAUAUAGUUUCAAAAUGUGUAACAAAAAAUAUUAAGUCCCGUGUUGAGUUUUUAAAUAAUCGAGUUCAAUUAAAAUUUAAAUAUUACUUUUUGUCUCUAACUUAACUAGUCUAUUCUUGUGAGUUGGGACGGCUAACUCUACCGGCCUUGAAUUUGAUUAUUAUUAUUUUUACCUCUGGCACAUUUUCUCAAUUAGAUGAUAUUUUUAUUCACAUCAAAAUAUAUAGUAAAUUUGUUUUGUUUUGGGUGAGACAUGGUAGAGACAAUGAUGUAAUUAGUUUAAGAAUAUUUUUGCCAAACUAUUAAAUUAUAUAUGAAUGUGAUUUCAUUCAAAAAAAAUUGUGAUAUUUGCAUUUUUCAGUCAAAAAGUAAAGUUUAUUUUCAAACAAAAAGUAUUAAAAAGAGAUGUAGUAUGGUAUAGAGUGACUUUAGAAUAAAAAAAAUCUUGUAGCUUAAUUGGUUUGAGUAUUUGUUUAAGGAAUGAUGGAGGUCUAUAAUCCAAUUCUCAAGGAGUACUUAUUAAACUACGAUUUGGCCCGACCUGGCCCAAUCAACCCGAGCCACGACCCUCAUAUUUUUAGCCCAAAAAAAAACUAGGCCAUUUUGGCCCGACCAACUGACAGCCCGUCCCGUUUGGGCUGGCUCGGCCCGUUUGCUAGGUCUAGUUAAUUUUAGGGUCCUUAACACUAAUAUACAACAAUUAGAAAGUAAUACAAAAAUAAAACAUUCACAAAAUAAUUACAAAAAUAACGCAAUUCACAUUAAUAAGAAAACCUAAAAUCAAGAAAAAAUAACUGCCAUAAUUAAUAAUUUAAAUUCAAAUAUCUGGGAUCUAACAACAAAAACAAAUUCAAAUUCAAAAUUAAAUAAUAAUUCAAAUUCAAAUCUUCAUCUCCCUCACAGUAUCCCUCUCUUCCGCCGCGAAUCUCCUUCUUCACAAGUUGCAUCAAGAUAAAAUGCAAAGAAACAUAAGAUUUCUGAAAGUACAAAUACUAAACAAUACGAUUGGACUGUUGACACUACCUAAGCGAUUAAUUUCUUACAAAUACAAUUUAUGUGUCUUCAACACCUCUUGCUUUAUUGUGUUGAAACCCACCCUUAAUUCCUUAGUUGUUUCAUCACUUCAUGUCAAAAUAAAUAAACCGUGAAACAUAUAUAUAUAUAUAUAUAUAUAUAUAUAUAUAUAUAUAUAGAAAAUGACCUGUGGAAUACGUUAGCUAUUAACCCUGUUUCAACUAACGCUCAUCCAACCAUCUAAAAUUGGAGUUAAUGGCUAAGAUGAGCGCCCAGCCGCUAGAGGGAGUAGCGGUCAACAAAUUUCUUUUAUGCUGGCCGCUACUCCCUCUAGUGGCCAGUCAAAACGACCGUGUUUUGACUGGCCGCUAGAGGGAGUAGCAGCCAACAUAAAAGAAUUUGGCUUAAUUACUGAUUAUCUUAAUUAUUCUCGUACAUAUACACUACUUAUUAAUCAUUAAAAUAAAAUAAUAAAUAAUUAUAAGGAUAAUCAGUAAUUAUUUUUAUACUUAUCCUUAUACUUAUUAACAAAAUAUACUACUCAAAUAUAUAAGGAUAAUAAAUAAUUAUAAGGAUAAUAGUAAUUGAAUUUAUAUUAUAUUCCUACUCAAAUAUAUAAACUCAAUCACUAUUUUCUAUUUAUAAUUAAAAAUCAUAAAACAAUAAUCAGUAAUUAUUCUUAUACAUACUUAUUUUGUUAAUAAGUAUAAGGAUAAGUAUAAAGAUAAUUACUGAUUAUCCUUAUAAUUAUCCUUAUAAUUAUUUAUUAUUUUAUUUUAAUGAUUAAUAAGUAGUAUAUAUGUACAAUAAUAAUUAGGAUAAUCAGUAAUUAAGCCAAAUUCUUUUAUGUUGAUUGGUCGCUACUCCCUCUAGCGGCCAGUCAAAACACGGUCGUUUUGACUGGCCACUAGAGGGAGUAGCGGCCAGCAUAAAAGAAAUUUGUAGGGGCGGCCAGUCAAAACACGGUCAUUUUGACUGGCCGCUAGAGGGAGUAGCGGGCAGCAUAAAAGAAAUUUGUUGGCCGCUACUCCCUCUAGCGGCUGGGCGCUCAUCUCAGCCAUUAACUCCAAUUUUAGACGGCUGGAUGAGCGUUAGUUGAAACAGGAUUAAUAGCUAACGUAUUCCACAGAUCAUUUCCCUAUAUAUAUAUAUAUAUAUAUAUAUAUAUAUAUAUACACACACACACACACACUCACUCACUCACAUAAACUCACAAUUCAUAGACAUGAUAGUUGAUGCAAACCUGUAGUGAUCCAGACUGAAAAUCUAAGAAGCCCUUGUAGUUAAGUUCUUUCUUUUUCCAUCUCCGAUACUUAGAUUCUGAAAAUGUCUGAAGUUCUUCCACCUUCUUCCUUGAAUCAGUCAAAAGACCCUCUAGCUCCAUUAUCUUCUUCUCUAGUUCAACAGUAGCUUUGGUUACCUUGGUGUGAAGGUUUGGUUACCAACUGCACUAUGAAAAAUCUGAAGGUGUAGAGGUGGAUUGGUUACCUUGGUAUGACAGUUUGGUUACCUUGGUAUGAAUGUUUGGUUACCAAUCUCUUCUAUUAGUUGCUAAUUUUGGAUCAAAUCCAAUAAUCAAGGUAAGCAUUGGGACGAAUAUGCCACCACCACCAACACCGCCUACACUUUUAAAUGCAGCUCCACAGAAUCCAAUUACAGAACCGAUAACAAUUUGCCAAUUAAAUUUCAUUUUCGGCCAAACAUGUUGGUAACCUGAUUGAUAUGUCUAAACUUAUUUCAAACAAAUAUAACAUAUACUAAUAUAUAGAAAUUUUGGACCGUGUGUGACCGGUUCGGGUUCGGUCGAGCAGAGAAAUGAACUUUUUGAAUUUGUUCACUGCCAUAUCUGUUACAGCUCUGUAAUCGGUAUUGCUGGAAUCCAUGGAGGUUGAGGAAGAAGAUGAGUGAUUUGUUGGGUUUUGGGUGUGAAAUUGUUGGGAGGAGUGAGAAAGAACCCUGAUGAGAUUCUCGACGCUCUGAAUUCCGGCGGUGGCAGCUUCUUGGACGAUGGUUUCUUCCAUUUUGGCACCAAAAUUGUAACCACUGCUCAUCAGGUCAACAAUCAUUUUUGAAAAAUACCAUCAAGGCAUUAACUAAGGAAAAGAAAAGGACUUUGAAGCUGAAAUAGUUUUGUAAAGAGAGAAUGGGUAUUGGGAGUCAAAACAGAUGAUGUGGCGAAAAGUAAGGAAAAGCAAAACAGAUCUUCGCGUACAAUUAACUAAGGAAAAUCAAAGGACUGUGUAUUAGUGUUAUAUGAAGGACACGAGAUCUUCGCUUCGAUGAAGGACAAAACUAACUACUUGAAUACUAAUCCCUUAAAUUAAAGAAUCCUAAUUACACUAAUAUUGUAAAUAAAUAUGGGAAAAUGUAUUACUUUUGUAAUUAUUUUAUGGAUACCAUUAUUAUAAUUAUUUUUAAAAAUGUACUAAAAUAUGUAAUUAAUCCUUAAUUUUAUGGGUUGAAGAAGAAUUGCCUGAAGGGUUUCUUGAAAAAGUGGGAGAUAGAGGGUUGGUUUUGUAGGGAUGGGCUCUAUCAAACAUUGUAAGUUGUAAUCUUGCCUUCUUAUGGGUUUGUCAAAUAUCAAGUCCUAAGGAUAGGCUAGUUAGUCGUGUAGGACUCUUUUAUUCAAAGUAGCAGAAAUGAUUCUGGGCUACAUGAAUGCUUGGUCAAUAAUUUGUACUAUUAUGAAGAGAGAAAAAUGUAUGUGUUCACAUUUUUAUAUUUAAUUUGGCUAUAUAAGCCAUGCAUUGUACUACAUUUUAGAUGAUCCGGAAAUCUAAUACUUCUUCGGUUCCCUUUUAUAUGACGUUUUAGGAUAAUUUUUUUGUUCCUAAAUAUUUGACGUUCUAGAAUUUCUAGGAGAAUUAGUUUUAAUUUUUUCCAAAUUACCCUUAAAAUAAAUUAUCUACAAUUUGAAUGCUCAUUCAUCUUCUUUAUAUAUAUUUGUGCAAUCCACUAUCUUCUCUCUCUUCUUUUUCAUCUCUCUCCUUCUAUAUCUGACUAUCCCCCUUUUUUUCUUCUCUCCUUAUUUAACUCUCCCUCUCUUGCAAUCACUCUUUUUAAUAUAAUCAUAUAUUCUUCACACAAAAAAUAGAAGUAAUUUGGUCAUGUGUUUUUAAUUGCAAAAUAUUUAAAUUAAUUUUUUAAUUUGCUAUGUCUAUGGUUAAUAUAGUUUAGUUUGUUUUGAUUUAUAAGAUCAUGUGUAAUCUUAAUACUAACAACUUUUUAAUUAUGAAGAAAAAUGGUAAAAAUACACAAAAGAGAGCUAACAAAAAUUUUAGGCAACAAGUAAUAAAAAAAAAAAGAAAAAAAAAAGAAGAGGAGGAGUGAGAUGACGUAAAAAAGAGAGUGGAUGAGGAGAGUGGAUGAGAAAAAUUAGUUAUAUGAGAAAUUGAGUUUAUGGGAUAAUUAGGUAUUGGUUAAGGAUGAGGAAAGAGAAAGUAGAUGGAUGGACAAAUAAAAUGGUGUUUUGGACAUUUGAUAGCAUAUUUAAUUAGUAGUAAUUAGGUUUCUUAAUAUAUGUACUCACCUCUAAAAUGUCAGAUAAAACGGAACUGAGGGAGUAGCAAGCAAGUUAGAUAAUAGCUCCUCUAAUUAAAAUAUAUUUGGGUCUCUCAAAUUAGGAGCAACUUGUAUGCAAUAAUAAGCUUCAUAUAUAAAAAUAACCUUGAAACCCAACAUAUUUUUGGUAUUUGAGCUUUCAACCCUUACCCUUUCUACUCCAUAUAUACAACCCAUUUCAACAUACAUAAUCCAUGGCAUCAUCCUCUGUUAACGUAGCUUUUAAUUAUUCUUCUACUUUAGUGCCGAUAUUUGAUGGAGAAAGUUAUGACUACUGGAGCAUCCAAAUGAAGACCCUUGUUAAAGAAUUAAGAUUGUCGUAGUUCAAUGAACAAUUUCCCACACUUUAUUGAUGUAAUAGUAGCUGAUUUAUAUACAAAGCUAGGAAAAACUAUUUAUGACAAUGUAAUCAAUUUAGCUAAAACUAUGCAGCGGUUGCAGAUUUGCAGCAGUUACAAAAAUAUACAAAAGUGAUUUUAAAUGAUCUUGAUUGUAGGAUAGAUAUGCUCUGUUCAGUCUUGGCCUUGAUUCUUGCAAUCUAUCUUUAUACGCCCCGCAAAAUUGAGCUUUCAUCAGCAAGCCCAAUCUUGUUUCUCAAGAUUUCUGUUCUUUGGCUGGACAAUGGUUCUGUCAACAGGUCAGCCAAUUGAUCUUGUGUAUGAACAUGUCGAACUUGGAGAGUGACACGUUGAACAAGAUCACUCACAAAAUGAAGAUCGAUUUGUAUAUGUUUCAUGCGUGAAUGUUGGACAAGAUUGAAACUUAGGUGCGUAGCACCAAGGUUAUCGCACAGUAGUAAGGGGGCUGCGCCUUUGAGUGGAAAACCCAACUAAUGAAGGAGGGCCAGAAGCCACAUUGUCUAGGAUGCCACAUUCGCAAGAGCUCAAUAUUCAGCUUUGGUGGUAGAUCUUGCAACUGCUCGUUUUUUUGAGCUCGGGAUUUGGGCCUAAGAAGCUGAUAUAGGCAAAUGUGGAGGUACGGUCAUCAGCAUUUCCAGCCCAAUUUGCAUCUGAAUAGGUAACUAAAGUUGGAGGUCCAGAUUUUGUGAGUUGUAUACCAUGGAAAAUGGUUUGCUUUAAGUACCGAAGGAGCCUUUUUGUUGCUGUGAAGUGAGUGAUGGUAGGCUUGUGCAUGAAUUGAGAUAACUUUGUUGACUGCAAAUGAGAUAUCUGGACGUGUCAAAGAAAGAUAUUGCAAGCUGCCAAUAAUUCUUCGAAAUUCUGUGUUGUCCAUAUUUGUCGUGCCAUCAAUUAACUUCAGAGACUGAGUUGUUGAAAGAGGAGUGGAGUCAUCUUUGGCACCACUCAUGUUGGUGUUGGACAAUAGUUCGCAAAUAUACUUGUGUUGUGAGAGAAAAAGUCCUGCUUGAGUAGGUAUAACUUCUACACCUAGGAAGUAAUGAAGUAGACUCAUAUCCUUGAGAGAGAAACGAUCUCCCUGUUGCUUGAUAAUUGAAGCUACAAAAUUUCUGUUAUUUCCUGUAAUCACAAGAUCAUCGGCAUAUACCAAGAAAUAACAGAUUAUAGAGUUCUUUCUAUAAAUAAAUAAGGACGAAUCAGCUCUGGAAUUUUCAAACCCAAGCUCAAGCAGUACAUUUUUCAGUGUAGUGUACCAAGCCCGAGGAACUUGUUUGAGCCCAUAUAUUGCUUUUUGGAGCCUGCAAACAUGAGUAGGUUUAGAUGGAUCUUUGAAAUCUGGGGGUUGCAUCAUAUAGACUUUCUCGGACAAUGCACCAUGUAAAAAGGCAUUAUUAACAUCCAUUUACCUUAACUCCCAACUAUUCACAACAUCAAUAGACAAAAAUGUUCUAAUUGUAGCUGGUUUAACUAUUGGACUGAAGGUCUCUUUGUAGUUGAGCUCGGGACAUUGAUUAUAACCCUUUGCAACUAAACGGGCUUUGAAUCGAUCCACUAACCCACCAGAUUUCCUCUUCACCAGGAACACCCAUUUGUAGCCUACUGGGUUACAGUUCAGAGGGGGUGGCACUAAAUCCCAAGUGCCAUGUUAUGUUUGUCAUUAAUCUAGGCAUGAUUACAAAGAAUGCAGAUUUAGAUGCACAAAAUGUAAAGUGCCAAACCAUUCUCAAAGAGACUGCUGCUUUCAACAAAGCAAUCAGAAAACAACAAAUCAUUCUGAUGCAAAUUUCUCUGAAGAAAAUAGUACCAAACAACUAUUUUAUUCUUGCAUGAGCUCACAAAUUGAUUCAGAAAAUACAUGGUACUUGGACAGUGGAUGCACUAAUCACAUGACAGGGUGCAAAAAGUUCUUUGUUGAACUAGAUGAUUAUGUUCAAUCUCAAGUCAAAUUGAGCGAUGUAAAAUUACAAACUAUUGAAGGUCGAGAUAUUGUUGUUGUACAAACAAAUAGAGGUAACACUAAACUCAUUCAUAACGUUUUAUACGUUCCUGGCUUAACUCAAAAUUUACUGAGUGUUGGUCAAUUAAUUCAAAAUGGGUACUCAGUUAAUUUUUAGAAAGAUGAAUGCAGUAUUAGUGAAAAAGACAAAAUUCUACUAACAGUGAAAAUGACAAAAAAUAAUUUUUUCCUCUUUUAAUGCCAACGGUCGUCAAUUCUGCUUUUUCUAAAAUGGACAAAAUUGACGAGUCCGAGUUAUGGCACCUAAGAUAUGGUCAUCUGAAUUAUAAAGGCUUUCAAUUGUUGACAGGAAUAUUUUUUUUAGUAGCGACUUUUCACUACCAAUCCUUCUAUCUUCCGACCGGGGUAGUGACAGGCUGGAAUUUUUUUUUUUUAAUUUUUUAUUGUUUUUGAUUAUUAAAUAAUUAAUGUGAUUUAUUAGAACUGAAAUUUUUAUGAAAUACAGUGAUUUAGGUAUCAUUUGAAUACAUGUAAAAAACAGAAUUACACAGUUUAUACAAUCCUGUUUUUACAUGUAUCCAAAUGACACCUAAAUCAAUGCAUUUUGUAAAAAUUUCAGUUUUAAUAAAUCACAUUAAUUAUUUGGUAGUCAAAAGCAAAAAAAAAAUUUUAAAAAAACAUAAAUUUUUUGCCGGUCACUACCCCGGUCGGAAGACGCCGCUCGCUGUAACUUAUUGUUUCACUACAAGGAAAUGGGUCGGUAAUGAAGGACAAAUCUUUUACAAGAAAUAGUAUAUUCCUCACAAGAGAUUUAAUAUGAAGAAAACUUUCUUUUGCUCGCAUUAAAGCUACUCGCUAAAAGUAUCAUUCGCUAAGUUAUAUAGUGACUAAAUAUUUUUUAUAAUGAAUAUAUUGUGAAGAAUAUGUUCUUCACAAAUUAUAUAUUGUAAAAGAUUAUUUUUAUUUGGGGGGAGAUGAUUUCCUAACAAUUAACAUUUUGAAAUAACUAGUAAAAAUGUCUUCCUUCAUAAAUAACAAUUUGUGAAGAACAUAUUUACUUUAAAAAUAUUAGAUUUCCUUCACUAAUUACAUAGUGUGAUUUUUUUUAUUUACUAAGAAGAAAUUUCUUUGACAAUUCUGCUAUUAAAUAAUCAAAUCAUUACACAUUAAAAAUAUUUUUAAAAUUAUUUAUUAAUUUGUAAUCAAUAUCAAAUAAAACAUUAUAUUAUAUAAAUAACCAAUUAUAUAAUCCACAAUUAAAUAUGUAAUAAUCAAGUAACAAAACAUACAAGCUUGUAAUCAAAAUAAAUUUAGGUGCUCCGAAGGUCAUAGUACCUAAAAUAUUUAAUCAUUAAUACAAGUAAUGAUGUAAGAAAAAUAAGCUAUAAAAAUUUUGUAGCUUUGUCAUGUUAAGUCCUCUCUUUAUUGUCAUAAUUUUUUUCAAAGCAACGUUGGUCUUGUAAACUUCAAAAAAAUACCAAAACUUAACUUAAAAUAUUAGAAUGAAAAGAAUAUGACAAGAGUAAACUGACAAAAAAAUUAAGAAGCGAUUUCACAAGCAAAAGUUAUAGUUCUACAAGAUCUUUAUCUCACAUCACAUGAAUAGUAAAUGUGCCUCACUUAUGUGAGAAGAAACUUGUAAAAAUAUAAAAUUUUAUAACUUGUGCGUGCAAAUAUCAAUGUCCUAAUUAAAUAAGAAAUAUUAUUAAAACGAUAAAAGAUGAGAGCUUGGUACUUAUAUAUAUACAUUUAUAACCAUGUAUACAAAUAAAUGUGCAACAAAAUAUAAUUAUAAGUUAUCACAAUGUCUUUUAGGAAGCUUGGUACCUAUGUGUGUGUGUGUGUAUAUAUAAAUAUAUAUAUAUAUAUAUAUAUAUAUAUAUAUAUAUAUUUUCCCCUUCAAGUUUAACUAUUUUAUUAAUUUGUCCCCUUAAAUUUAUUAAUUUACAUAUUUGUCCUUAUUAUUAUACCUAAAAAAAUCUAAAAGGGGAAGCUGCCUAUGUUGCCCUUUAACAAAUCCGCUCCUGAUUGUUAGCUAGAAAAAUAUGGUGGUUGGACUACCAAAAAUUAAAAUGGAGGACAAAAUUUGUGAAGGAUGUAUUUAUGGAAAAAUGCAUCGUUUGCCAUUUCUAAAAAUUGCAUGGCGAGCAACUCCUCUUGAACUUUGUUCAUGCAGAUAUAUGUAGACCAACAAGAAUAUCAUCAUUUCAAAACAAAAGAUAUUUUCUUCUCUUUGUUGAUUAUUAUAGCAGGAUGAUGUGGGUCUACUUUCUCGAGCAAAAGUCUAAAGCUUUUUCAAAAUUCUUGGAGUUCAUGAAGAUGGCAGAAAGGCAAUGGGCAAUGUGACUUCCUUCUUAAAAUGCUCCGGACAGACUGCGGUGGUGAAUUCAUUUCAAAAGAAUUUAUGAAUGCAAGAGCGAAGGAAUCAAAACGCAGCGGAUUGUUCGCUACAGUCCUCAGUAAAAUGACGUAGCAGAACGAAAAAAAUCGAACAAUUGUCGAGAUGGCGUGAAGCAUGUUGGAAACAAAAACUCUUCCCAACAACUUUUGGACUGUGACGCCUCCAAAUUCGGGUACUUGAAACCUGUAUUAGGUGCUACACGAUAUUAUUGUUUCAAUCUGCUUAAUAUAUUAAAUAAUUAAAAAGAUUAUAUCAUAAUUGUCUAUCACAGGUACGAAAAACUUUAAAUACUUCAUUACAUGAUAGAUAAUGUAUUAUCACAUUACAAAAUUAUAACUACUACAAACGCCUUUUAACUACUCAUUUAGCUUCCCUUUGCCUUUGUCCUUGCCGGACCCUUCUGCACGAUCCUGUCUAGCUAAAAACAGUUAAGUUCAAAACAAGGCUGAGCAUUCAAUUGCUCAGCAGGUAAUAACAGACAAUAAGCAAUAUAUGAAAAGAUUAAAUAUUUUCUUUAAGAUAUACUUCUACAACGAAUUGAUAGUUGUGAAGUAACUUAAAUAAUUCUUAUUACCAUAGCAAAUUACUUACAUUUUUGAAACGAUUUAGUGACUAUAGAUGUUGAGCGGUCAAAAGACCAUGAACUUUGAUUUCAAGUUUCUGAUAAGGUUUGAACAUAAAUUCAUCUGCAAACCGACAUAGUUACGGGGACGGUGGGUGAUCAGCCCGUUAUGCCCUGCGUUGAUCAACACUACGUAGGAGAACAACAUUCGCGUUCAUCAUAACCGCCUUUGGCGCAUAAAAAUUUUCCAAAUAAAGGAAGUUCAUACUCAGACUAGAAUUCUAAACCAAAACAAUUUUGAUGGAAAGCUCUACCUAAUCCCAAUAAUAUUUUAGAUAUUUCGAAACUUUUAAAACAUAGGUUAUAGCAAUUGAACCAAAUUUAAGCAACCGAUAAAAGAGUUGCACAAAUUUUAGAACCAAUACAUAUGGAUAUUCAUAAAAGAAUUUUUAAACGAAUAUACUAAUUGUACAUUAAAGACUCCUUUAAUGGAAAUAGGAGUUUUUAUGUAUAGUUCUAUUAAAAUCUUAAUCCAAUGAUUGGAUUAGAUUUGGUUUCCUUAAAGAUAGGAAGUCAAAUUAGAUACAGUAAUCAUAGGCCGGUUAGGAUUGUAGAUUUAAUUUUUAAAAGUCAAGUCUCCUGAUUGAAAUAUACCGACACGUGGUAUGAUAGGUCCCACCGAAUCAACCAGGCCCACAAAAUCAUGCCCCGGCAUUAUCUAAACCUUUUCUUUCUCCUCCCAAAAGGAAGAAAAAAAAUGUCUCACAGAAGAAGUAGAGCUUCAACAAUCUUAGAAGGGUGUAUUCAAUUAAGAUUUUUAAAGACUUUAAAAGUUUUGUUGUAUUCAAUCAAGAUAUUUAAAGAGUUUAUAAAAGUUUACUGGUAUUCAAUUACAACUUUUGUAAUGUCUUUAAAAGUUAGGUGGUAUUGAUUUGAGACUUUUACAAAGUCUAUAAAAGUAUUUUGGUAUUCAAAAAGUCAUAGAUUUUUCAGAUUUCUAUCAAAUGGUAGAGUUUUACAGACUUUAGAAGAAGAGAUACUCAUAUCCAAAGUCUGAUCUCAUCUCUAAAGACUUUCAAAGACUUCUAAAUAUUUGAGAAAGGAAGAAGAUGAACAUAGGAAAAAGAGAUAGAGGAGAUCAAAUAAAGAAGAGAAAAAAAAGAAAUAUAUAUAUAUAUCUUUUUCUCUUUCUCUCUAUACCUUAUUCCUCUCAAAAUAAAAACCCCAAAAGAAAAGAGGGCUAUUAUAACAGAUGAGGAGAGAGAAAAAUGAGGAAGGGUUAAAAAGAGGAAGUAGCAGGGAGAAAAAAGUGGAAGGGAUAAAAAGAGGGAGUAGUGUUAAGGGUUCCAAAUAGAAUCAAUAGUAUAAAUGAAGAUAACAAAUAUUUUAAUAUCAUUUUAUAUUUCUUAUCUCCCAUAAAAAAAUCUCAUUUAUUAUAUUUGUAAAUUAAAAGUACUAAAUUUGUUAAUUUUUUUAUUUAUUGAAAAUUAUAAAUUGUUAGUUUAAUAAUAACGACUUGAUAGGAAAAUGACAAUGAAAAUUUUAAAAUCGAAAUUGUUAUUUUAUAUUAUUGUUAGUAGAAAAUGACUUUUUUUUAUGAAAUAUGACAUUUUCUUGUAAUAGACGGGGUAUGAUAUAAUAAUUCAACUUCAACAAUGUCUUUUAUUUCAAAUUAAGUUGUGACAUGGUCAUUAUAUUUUAAUAUUAUUUAAUAUCGUACUCAUUUCAUCUAAAAUAUAAGAUCUUUGUUAAUUUUUUAACAAUUAAUAUAAGUUACAAUAUAUAUUAGAAGUAUACAAAAGUCUAUCAAAGUCUUGAUAAAAAGUCUAUAAAAAUUUGUCGCUUAUUUAAUGGAAUCUUUAAAAGUCAUUAAAAUCUGCAAACUCUAUAAAAGUCUCUCGCUUAAAAAAAAUAUUUAAAAAUCUUUAUUAAAUACACCCCCCUUAGAAAUAUUUUCACUAACACUCUGUUUCUGAGUUUUAAAAUGGACAGGAAAAAAAAAUUGACAGAAAAUUAAAGUUUUCUUUCCAAUUCUUAUGUUUCUGAGUUUUUUAAUAAACGGAAAAGAAAAGAAAUAGAUAGAAAACUUGGCCACUUUUCCUGCCAAAGUUUUUCGUUCAAAAUUGGCCUGAUUUGGACGGAAAAAAAAUUAGAAUAAGUAAUAAUUUUAUAAUUCUCAUAUUAUCCUCAACUUUUAAAAUAAUAAAUUUAAAAUUACAACUCAUCUCCUCAAUUUUAAAUUUUCUAUUCUUUUCUAUUAAAAACUCGGAAACAAUACAAAGAAAAACUUCAAGUUUUCUAUUCUUUUCUUUUCUGUUCUAAUUUAAAUUUUCUAUUUUUUUCUUUUCUGUUCAAAACUCAGAAACAGACUGUAAAUUCUAUGUGAUACCUGGUUCUUCUAAUCUUAGCAGUGAUCUUUAUAUUUCUUGGAAUUCAAUGGUUUAUUUCAUAUGAGGAUAUGGUUGAAAGCACUGAAUGGGUUGGAUGUUAAUGGUCGCA